CCUACGGGGGGCAGCAGUGGGGAAUAUUGCGCAAUGGGCGGAAGCCUGACGCAGCGACGCCGCGUGGGGGAUGACGGCCUUCGGGUUGUAAACCUCUUUCAGCAGGGACGAAGUUGACGUGUACCUGCAGAAGAAGCGCCGGCUAACUACGUGCCAGCAGCCGCGGUAAUACGUAGGGCGCAAGCGUUGUCCGGAAUUAUUGGGCGUAAAGAGCUCGUAGGUGGCUUGUCGCGUCGGAUGUGAAAGCCCGCAGCUUAACUGCGGGUCUGCAUUUGAUACGGGCAGGCUAGAGGUAGGCAGGGGAGAACGGAAUUCCUGGUGUAGCGGUGAAAUGCGCAGAUAUCAGGAGGAACACCGGUGGCGAAGGCGGUUCUCUGGGCCUUACCUGACGCUGAGGAGCGAAAGCGUGGGGAGCGAACAGGAUUAGAUACCCCAGUAGU
rnacentral:rRNA from 1 species